CUGGACUAACAAUGUAUAAGAUUGACGAGGCUAGGCAAUAUGCCCCUUUACAUGCACUAUGAACGAAAAGGCAAACAAUUUCAUCGUUCAAUAAUGGAACCAGAAAAGCUUGAGCAUGCCGUAAAGUUUUUUUUGUAUCCACACAGUUCAUUAAUAAUCAUUUCGAACCCGUGAACUUAAAUUAGAAAAUGGUGAUAAAAUAAUGAUUCCAAAAGGGAACUACAGACAUG
rnacentral:lncRNA from 1 species